rnacentral:lncRNA from 1 species
UCUGCCCAUGGGGAAUCAAUCUUCCGUCGGUCUUGUCUUUUUGCUGAUUUCGACUGAUAAAUCCCUGUGCAGGUUUUCCAGCCCUGGAUUCAGAAAAGAAAGAUAGCAUAUUCAAAGCAUAAGCAGUUGAUAUCAGGGGUUCUAAAGCAGUUGAAGGCAAAGACGUUGGGAAGGCUGUUCAUGGAUAAUGGUCAACCUAACGUAGAUGCAAUUCAGAAGUUCGUCUCUUAAUUGCAGUUCUCGUAUUAUAAAAUAAAAACAAAGAGCUUGCUGUUAACUCUAAGUUCUAAUGUAAGCUUCAACAAUCUAAUGACAGGUUAUUCGAGGUAAUGGAUGAGAACACAGAUGGGUAUCUAACAGGGAAGGAGUUGAGGGCACUAGUGAUAGGAAUACAACUCGAGGACGGAGACAUGGAUAUCGACAAUGCAGUAUAUCAUGUGCUGAAAGAAUUUGACACAUCUCACGAUUCGCUUAUUGAUAAGGACGAGUUCACACAAGGAGUCUCGAGAUGGCUUGAGAAGGCUAAGAAUUCAGCACUAUACGGACAUAGGUCGCUGACGGCAAAACUUCUACUUGACUUUGAAGAGGUAAACGCUGUUCUUCACAUAAUUAGUUCCAAAUUUUUAGCCAUGUAUAUGUAAAUGAUAUCUGGUAACGAGUUUGCAGUACACAAAGAAAGAACAAGAUAUUCUAGGAGGGCAGAAUGACAAUACCAAUAGUCCUCGAGGUAUAGGCUGGGAUGGUGCAAAAGCAGGAUUGCUAUUGCUCUCAGGAACAUUCAUUGCUGCAGCAAUUGCAGAGCCUCUGGUUGAUGCUGUCAACAACUUCUCGAGCGCUUCAAAGAUCCCUCCAUUUUUUGUAUCGUUUGUCAUUUUGCCUUUUGCUAGUUCCAGUGAGAUCGUCUCAAUCCUAAUCUUUGCCAGCAAGAAGAAUAUGAGAUCUGCAUCGCUAGCAUACUCUGAGGUUUGUAUUACUCUUCUCCAUUUGAUUUAUAUGGAGAGAGGAACUGACCUUUCAAGCCACUGACUCGUGCGUGCUUUCUUCGUGCAGAUAUAUGGGUCCGUGACCAUGAGUAACAUUCUGUCGUUGUCAGUUUUCUUGGGUCUUG